GCCUACGACUAUCUUACCGAGGAUGCGGCUCGAGGAAGAAACUUUAUUGGGUUACCAAUUCAUCGGAGGAAAAGGUGGUUGGAGAUUAAGCUUGGAUGGGCAUCACACAAUCUUGAUAUCGGUACUAGGAGGGGAUGAAGGAUGCGAGAUUGAUGUUUUGAUGGGCUCACUAAAGUCAAAAACCAAGGACUUCGACAUAUUUUUCUCUCUCUCUUUGGUUAAGAUUCUCUAUAUAUGAAAUUGAUUGUAAAAGAUUUUGUUGGUUAAGAUUUUUUAUAUGAAAUUGAUUGUAAUAGACUCUGUGACUAGAAAUGGAUUAUACUUUAUAUUAGGAAUAUCAUGACAUUUACUUUA